rnacentral:tRNA from 1 species
GGGCCGCUAGCUCAAUUGGCAGAGCAGCUGACUCUUAAUCAGCGGGUUACUGGUUCAAGUCCAGUGCGGCUCACCA